rnacentral:rRNA from 1 species
ACGGCGAGUGAAGCGGCAAAAGCUCAAAUUUGAAAUCUAGCACCUUCGNCNGUUCGAGUUGUAAUUUGAAGAUGGUAACCUUGGGUUUGGCUCUUGUCUAUGUUCCUUGGAACAGGACGUCAUAGAGGGUGAGAAUCCCGUCUGAUGAGAUGCCCAUUCCUAUGUAAGGUGCUAUCGAAGAGUCGAGUUGUUUGGGAAUGCAGCUCUAAGUGGGUGGUAAAUUCCAUCUAAAGCUAAAUAUUGGCGAGAGACCGAUAGCGAACAAGUACAGUGAUGGAAAGAUGAAAAGAACUUUGAAAAGAGAGUGAAAAAGUACGUGAAAUUGUUGAAAGGGAAGGGCAUUAGAUCAGACUUGGUGUUUUACGAUUAUCUUCUCUUCUUGAGUUGUGCACUCGUAUUUCACUGGGCCAGCAUCGAUUCGGAUGGCAAGAUAAUGGCAGUUGAAUGUGGCUUCACUUCGGUGGAGUGUUAUAGCUUCUGCUGAUAUUGCCUGUCUGGAUCGAGGGCUGCGU